UGGAAAUUUCAGCUUGUAGAGUUGAACUUUUGCUUAAUGGCCAGCCUUGGUAUGGAGACAUGGCUUGUCUGAUCAAGGGGGCAAUCCAAGAGGAAACUUUUGACGCUAUUUUUGCUUGAACUAGGUACGGGGAUGACAAGGACAAGAAUAGUGCUAGUUGUAAUAGGAAAUCUUAAUCUUGUAUUUGGACGGCACUGUAUUAUGGUAUUAGUUUACAAGUUCUUAUCUUUUGGUCUGUAUUUUGGUUUGUAUAUUCAGAUGAUUGGUAGCAUGUAGAUGUUAUAUUGAAGAGUUUUAGCGUUAUUGAUUUGCUAUCCAAAGAAUAAGGAAUUCAAAAGUUGUAGUCCUUAUUUUAAG